rnacentral:rRNA from 1 species
GAUGAACGCUGGCGGCGUGCCUAAUACAUGCCAGUCGAGCGAACGGACGCUAAUCUUGCUUCUCUGUUGUUAGCGGCGGACGGGUGUGUAACACGUGUAUACCCUACCUAUAUUUCUGGUAUAACUUCGGGAAACCGGAGCUAAUACCGGAUAAUAUUUUGAACCGCAUGGUUCAAUAGUGAAAUACGGUCUUGCUGUCUCUUAUAGAUGGAUCCCCGCUUCAUUAGCUAGUUGGUAAGGUAACGGCUUACCAAGGCAACGAUGCAUAGCCGACCUACGAGGGGGAUCGGCGACACUGGAACUGAGACACGGACAAGACGACUAAGGGAGGGAGCAGUAGGGAAUGGUACGCAAUGGGCGAAAGCCUGACGGAGCAACGCCGCGUGAGUGAUGAAGGUCUUCGGAUCGUAAAACUCUGUUAUUAGGGAAGAACAGAUGUGUAAGUAACUGUGCACAUCGUGACGGUAACGAAUCAGAAAGCCACGGCUAACUACGUG